rnacentral:rRNA from 1 species
CAGUCAUACCAACGGGAAAUCAACCUUUUGAGCUCGGUCUCGUGGGUUUUGAAGAGUUUCAAAGCCUUCGGAUUCGCGGGAUUGUGGGAUCUCUUGGUGUUACUUUUUCGUACGGUUAGUUAACAUCAAUUUUGGUUAUCAUAAAAUGGUUGGAGGAAUGUAGCUUCGAUCUCGUAUUGAAGUGUUAUAGCCUUCGGCAGAUGUGAUGAUCGAGAUUGAGGGAUUG